GACGAACGCUGGCGGCGUGCUUAACACAUGCAAGUCGAACGGAAAGGCCCUGCUUUUGUGGGGUGCUCGAGUGGCGAACGGGUGAGUAACACGUGAGUAACCUGCCCUUGACUUUGGGAUAACUUCAGGAAACUGGGGCUAAUACCGGAUAGGAGCUCCUGCUGCAUGGUGGGGGUUGGAAAGUUUCGGCGGUUGGGGAUGGACUCGCGGCUUAUCAGCUUGUUGGUGGGGUAGUGGCUUACCAAGGCUUUGACGGGUAGCCGGCCUGAGAGGGGUGCCGGCCACAUUGGGACUGAGAUCCGGCCCCGACCCCUCCGGGGGGCAGCAGUGGGGAUUAUUGCACAAGGGGCGGAAGCCUGAUCCAGCACCCCCGCGUGCGGGAUGACGGCCUUCGGGUUGUAACCCGCUUUCCCCUGUGCCGAAGCGUGGGUGCCGGUAAUGGGUAAAGAAGCCCCGGCUAACUACGU
rnacentral:rRNA from 1 species